rnacentral:lncRNA from 1 species
UUCUUCCCCUGCUGUGCCAUGGAGAAAGAUUACUUUAGCUAGCUAAAGUUGGAGGCAACAAGGUAUCUUCAGCCCUGGGCUAAUGACAUCAGGAGAAAGGACUACUCAGCUCCUUUUAGAGCCAUUUACUACAUUUUUUUUUUUUUCCUAGAAUAAUGGAGGAGGCACUCAGGGAGUGAAGUGUGAAUUUACCUGGUGAAUUUGCCAGAUUGCAUUACAAG